rnacentral:rRNA from 1 species
UGGGGAAUUUUGGACAAUGGGCGCAAGCCUGAUCCAGCCAUGCCGCGUGCAGGAUGAAGGCCUUCGGGUUGUAAACUGCUUUUGUACGGAACGAAAAGGUGCCUUCUAAUGAAGGGCGCUCAUGACGGUACCGUAAGAAUAAGCACCGGCUAACUACGUGCCAGCAGCCGCGGUAAUACGUAGGGUGCGAGCGUUAAUCGGAAUUACUGGGCGUAAAGCGUGCGCAGGCGGUUUUGUAAGACAGAUGUGAAAUCCCCGGGCUUAACCUGGGAACUGCGUUUGUGACUGCAAGGCUGGAGUACGGCAGAGGGGGGUGGAAUUCCACGUGUAGCAGUGAAAUGCGUAGAGAUGUGGAGGAACACCAAUGGCGAAGGCAGCCCCCUGGGCCUGUACUGACGCUCAUGCACGAAAGCGUGGGGAGCAGACA